CGUAAAGAACCUGCCUCAUAGACUGGGACAACUAUUGGAAACGAUAGCUAAUACCGGAUAACAGUAUUUCUCGCAUGAGAGAUAUUUAAAAGUUGGUUAUGCUAACACUAUGAGAUGGCUUUGCGGUGCAUUGGCUAGUUGGUGGGGUAAAGGCCCACCAAGGCGACGAUGCAUAGCCGACCUGAGAGGGUGAUCGGCCACACUGGGACUGAGACACGGCCCAG
rnacentral:rRNA from 1 species